UUGAGCUUCUCUGAAAGCAGGUUCUAUAUGAGCCACCUGGUGUUGGUUGACGACUGGUCGGACUUCUUUCCUCCUCACAGAGGGCCUUCUUUUUCUAUGGGAAGAAACAGCAUGAGUCUCCCCUUCCUUCUUCCUGGCAAAUCCUCCAUACUUCUUCACCGAAGAAUCAUCACGGGACAGACGUCCUUCAUGGACUCCCUCUUCUAGCCUC
rnacentral:lncRNA from 1 species